CAGCAGCCGCGGUAAUACGUAGGGUGCGAGCGUUAAUCGGAAUUACUGGGCGUAAAGCGUGCGCAGGCGGUUGUGUAAGACAGGUGUGAAAUCCCCGGGCUUAACCUGGGAACUGCGUUUGUGACUGCACAGCUAGAGUAUGGCAGAGGGGGGUGGAAUUCCACGUGUAGCAGUGAAAUGCGUAGAGAUGUGGAGGAACACCGAUGGCGAAGGCAGCCCCCUGGGCCAAUACUGACGCUCAUGCACGAAAGCGUGGGGAGCGAACAGGAUUAGAGACCCGCGUAGUCCCUGUCUCUUAUAC
rnacentral:rRNA from 1 species